UACGAGUGCUCCAAGCGUUAUCCGGAAUUAUUGGGCGUAAAGGGUGUGUAGGCGGUUUUGUUAGUCGGUUGUUAAAGCUCCCCGCUUAACGGGGAAAAUGCAAUCGAAACGGCAAAUCUAGAGGAUGCGAAAGGUGAACAGAACUCAUAGUGUAGGGGUGAAAUCCGUUGAUAUUAUGGGGAAUACCAAAUGCGAAGGCAGUUCACUGGCGCACUUCCUGACGUUGAAACACGAAAGCGUGGGUAGCGAAUGGG
rnacentral:rRNA from 1 species